CACGUAGGGUGCGAGCGUUGUCCGGAAUUAUUGGGCGUAAAGAGCUCGUAGGCGGUGUGUCGCGUCGGCCGUGAAAACCUGCAGCUUAACUGUGGGCUUGCGGUCGAUACGGGCAUCACUGGAGUUCGGCAGGGGAGACUGGAAUUCCUGGUGUAGCGGUGAAAUGCGCAGAUAUCAGGAGGAACACCGGUGGCGAAGGCGGGUCUCUGGGCAUUUACCUGACGUGGAGGAGCGAAAGUGUGGG
rnacentral:rRNA from 1 species